rnacentral:rRNA from 1 species
AGGGAUCAUUGCUGGAACGCGCCCCAGGCGCACCCAGAAACCCUUUGUGAACUUAUACCUUUUGUUGCCUCGGCGCAUGCUGGCCUCUAGUAGGCCCCUCACCCCGGUGAGGAGAAGGCACGCCGGCGGCCAAGUUAACUCUUGUUUUUACACUGAAACUCUGAGAAAAAACACAAAUGAAUCAAAACUUUCAACAACGGAUCUCUUGGUUCUGGCAUCGAUGAAGAACGCAGCGAAAUGCGAUAAGUAAUGUGAAUUGCAGAAUUCAGUGAAUCAUCGAAUCUUUGAACGCACAUUGCGCCCUCUGGUAUUCCGGAGGGCAUGCCUGUUCGAGCGUCAUUUCAACCCUCAAGCACUGCUUGGUGUUGGGGCACUGCUUUAAACGGAGCAGGCCCUGAAAUCUAGUGGCGAGCUCGCCAGGACCCCGAGCGCAGUAGUUAAACCCUCGCUCUGGAAGGCCCUGGCGGUGCCCUGCCGUUAAACCCCCAUCUUUUGAAAAUUUGACCUCGGAUCAGGUAGGAAUACCCGCUGAACUUAA